GGAUGGAUCAAAGACUGAGGCCGCCACGUCCUGUGGUAACGUCCUUUUGACCCACCUCG
rnacentral:sRNA from 1 species